AAUCAAGUUACUUCACAUUUUUAACUAUAUUUAUUCUUAAAAAUUUAACAAAUAAAUAAUAUACUAUCUUUUUUAUUGAAAAAGUGAUAUUAUAAUAAAAGGGCAAUUGCUUAUAUACUCCUGAAAAGUUUCCGACUUUCCGAUUUAUCCCUCUUAGAAGGCUAAUAUUUAAAAUACCCUUCCUACGUUUCAACCUAUUUUUAAUAUACUCCUAAAGUUAAAAUCUGUUAAUGAACUCUAUCAUCUCUGUAAAAUUACUAUUUUACCCUUUCAAAUAUACCCUUUCACCAUCACUUACUUUCUUAUUUGCCCUUAAAAUCAGGGAUACAAAAACUAGUUUGACUUUUGGUCUUUUUCAAUAUACCUCUCUAUUGUCACCAAUAUUUUUCAUUUGCGCUUAAGUUGAGGACAAAAUUGGUAUUUUAAUUUUGUUUAACUGUGAUAGAUAUUUAAUUCACGUUUAACUCAAAUUAACUUAACAGGAGAUAACAAUGGAGGUAUUUUAUAAUAAUGGUGGAACAUAUGAGGAUCAUUUUAGAGAGAAAAAAAAAUAAAAAUAAAUUAAAUAUUUUCAAACAUACGAGAGAUAUAUAAGCAAUUAUUUCUAUAAUAAAAUAGGCCCGUACAUAAUUAAU
rnacentral:lncRNA from 1 species